rnacentral:rRNA from 1 species
GGCCCGCACAAGCGGUGGAGUAUGUGGUUUAAUUCGACGCAACGCGCAGAACCUUACCCAGUCUUGACAUCCCUGGACCACUAUGGAGACAUAGCUUUUUCGACCUAACGGAAGAAUCAGGUGCAGGUGCUGCAUGGCUGUCGUCAGCUCGUGUCGUGAGAUGUUCGGUUAAGUCCGGUAACGAGCGCAACCCCUGUCCUUAGUUGCCAAUUAUGGAACUCUAAGGAGACUCCCGGUGUUAAACCGGCGGAAGAUGGGGAUGACGUCAAGUCCUCAUGGCCCUUAUCGGCUGGGGCUACACACGUACUACAAUGGCAACUACAAAGAGCUGCGAAGUCGCGAGGCCAAGCUAAUCUCAAAAAGUUGCCUCAGUUCGGAUUGGAGUCUGCAACUCGACUCCAUGAAGUUGGAAUCGCUAGUAAUCGCGGAUC